rnacentral:rRNA from 1 species
CCCUUAGAUGUUCUGGGCUGCACGCGCGCUACACUGAUGCACUCAACGAGUUUACGACCUUGCCCGAUAGGGUUGGGUAAUCUUUUUAAAAUGCAUCGUGAUGGGGAUAGAUUAUUGCAAUUAUUAAUCUUCAACGAGGAAUUCCUAGUAAGCGCGAGUCAUCAGCUCGUGCUGAUUACGUCCCUGCCCUUGUACACACCGCCCGUCGCUCCUACCGAUUGAGUGCUCAGGUGAAUAAUUCGGACUGCAGCAAUGUUUGGAUCCCGAACGUUGCAGCGGAAAGUUUAGUGAACCUUAUCACUUAGAGGAAGGAGAAGUCGUAACA